rnacentral:lncRNA from 1 species
CAUGUCUCUAUAGCUGCUCUGCCUAAUGCUCUACUGGCUUUACCUAUAUUUGCUCUAUCAGUUUCUCACACUCGACACUUGCCAAACUCCUUUCAACUGCUGCCUGAGCUCUCUCUCUCUGCUCUUCACCAUUCUAUUGCCUACAAGGCUCUUUAAAAUCCUAAAUCCAAGUCACGCUCGAUAACAGAGCUUUAACAUGAUACAAAAACCUCCUUGGACCAUCUGAUCUUGACAGCAAGCAUCUCCAGCCAUCAGAUCGUGCAAACAAAGUCUCAGAUCAUACCCGCUUGCUUUCCAGCCAUCAAAUUAGGACCC